rnacentral:lncRNA from 1 species
AUGUUUUGGCUAAUUUCUAUAUGUGAUGUAUUGAAAGAUACAUCCAUAUAUCAUUGUUAGAAAUUGCUGGAAAGGGUGAAAAACGAGCCAUAUCUCGAGAAAACUGAGCACCGAAAUACGUUCGAGGUACCGAGAGCUGAAUUGGCACAAAAUACUAGAUAAAUCACUUGGUGGCGUCGCGCGACCAGAAAAGAAGGGCCUCCCCGUGUGACGCUAGGAGUUUAUUGACCUUUGUUGACUUUUUCAAGCCCGCGUCACACGACCAUAAUAUCAAAUGCUCCUCGCGCGACGCGAGGAGCCCAUUUUCGCAGAAUGUUUUGUAGUCUGGCAGGGUUGUGUUAUGAAAUGAUAUAUACUGAUCACAAUUGAGAAAAGAACCCAUAACCCUACAAAUUAAAGAAGACUAUGGACGAAUUUUGAGCUCCGGAAAGUCAGAGAACGAAGAUCUUGAAGCAAGGAAUCAAUACGGUUGAAGAUCCAAGGCACGAGAACGAAGAAUAUCGGGUUCCUCUUCCCGUUUUCAUAGUUUUCUAUUGUUCAUCUUUUUACAAUGAAUCAAAUCUUUGAACUUUGUGCUUUAAUUGCUUUAACUAAGAUGUUAGGCUAAAACUCCAUAAACUACCUAGGUUAAAAUGAACAUAUGCUAAAGUUUUGAUUUUUAUCCGGAGUAUGAACUUGUUAUGGAUUUUCUAUUAAAGUAAAGACUUGGUUGC